AAUGAAAAACAUGAAUAAAAUCUUGAACAAGUAAACAGUCCCAUCAAAGCUUCAAGCUGCAUUCAUCGGCAAAUGUGCAUCAUAAGUGUCUCAACCAUUCUUAUUUGAUUUAAAAACACAACUUUUACAUCAGGAUGUGAAAGUAUUCCUAACGGAGUGGCUGCAGUUUGUCUAACACUUUAGUUACAUUUGACUUUAAGUUGAAGGAAAAUUCCAUAAUCCACAAAUAAUCAUUUACAACAAUAUAUUCUGCUUUAAAUCUUUACAACUCACAACAGAGAACACAAUCAAACUAAUAACUGCUGCACACUGACACGUUCAUGUAAUUUCCUGGGUUAUCUGACAGUUAUUGAAUCCUUUAAAAUGGAAAAUAACAAAGUGGUACAAAUAAAUAAUAAUCUGAAACCAAGAAACUGAUGUUUUACACAUUAGUGUAGAAACAUCUGGAUUAUCAGCCUGCAAAGACAAACAAUCAGCUGGACUGAGUCAGAGAAGAGACCUGCUGAUGUUUCCAACAUGAAGCUUGUGUUGGACAGAACAGUUCAUCCUCACUGAGGCUGGGUUCAGUAACAGCUGCUUAAAGUUGGGCUCAGCUGAGUACUUUCUGCUCCUAUUGGUCAGUCUCAUAGACAACAGGGGAAAAAUAUUUACAGUAAAUGUACUCGUCAGCCCGCAGGAUGAUCAAGUCCUUCCUGUAGUGUCAGAGUGAAAUCAGUGGUCUGUGUGGAGUGUUGCUGAAUGCUGUCAGUCUCUGCUCAGCAGCAGGAGACUCAAAGUCCAUCUGCAAAAAUGCUCUGAGACAUUUCAGACAGUCUGCAGCUCAGCAGGAGGACGCUCUGAAUCCUGACUCUGUCCAUGUUUUCUGUAGAUCAGAAAAGCAACAACAACAACAGCAACAAGCACAGCACAAAGUGACGCGCUCGCUAUCAGUCCAGCACGUCCUCUUCUGACUCCGUCCCCUCUCAGUCCUCCUGGUUGAUCUUCAUGCAGAAACAGGUGUGAGGUGCAGAUAGAUUCCCACGAGCGUGUUUCUUCCAUGAAGACGUGACACUCGUACGUUCCAGCGUCCGCAGUCGUCACAUUCUCCAGAAUCAAAGACACGUCUCCAUCCUUCAUCUGUCUGUCCUGCAGAUCCACCCGCUUCUUUAAAGAUGGAUGCUGCUUGUUGGUAUCAAAGUGCCCGUCCCGGUACAAGAGCACAUAUUCUUCUCCCAGAUCAGCUCUGCUCCAGUUCACAACUAUGAACUUGUCGUUUGGAGCUCGACAUGUCAGAGUGACGUUGUUUCCAGACUCAGCUGGGACUUUUUUGUCACGUGUGUAUAAAGAAACGCUGAGCUCGCCUUCAGCAGUGAAAGCCAGGACGCAUGCGCAGAGCACGCCCGGGAACAAUGACGUUAUUUUGGGUGUAGUCAUUCUGGCUGACAGCAAACCAAGUGAUUUGUAUUUUUCAUGCUUUUGCUGCCACAUUAUAAACUAAAAUUUCUUGGUCGGGAGAAAAACCCCUGUUACGGGAACUCCAGGCUUCGGCUUUGGGAACUCCCGGCUUCGGCUAUGGGAACAACGCCUCGCCUCUUUUGCCUCAGGCGGCGCUGAAAUAAGUUCAGCAGCCUCUGCGUGAAAACUUUGGUGCCUCAGUUGGCAUCCCUCAGCUUCGGUGUGGACAUAUCGGCUGUUAUGUGCCCAAGUUUUUCUUCAGCCUCUGACGUUUUUACAUUUCUUCGCUGAUUGUGGACACAGAUUUUCCUGAACCUCUCUGUUUUUGCACUCUGGGUUUUACAGUUUCUUGUGUGUGUAAAAAGCAAAUAAAGAAUGUGUUUGUGAACAGGUUAUUGCAGUCUGAAAUGUAAAGUGAAACUUUAUUUGAUUACAUUGUGUGAAUGUUCAGGCAUUAAUACUUUUUGGAAAGCUGAAUUGAAAGAAUAAAAAGUAAAUGUGUAAAGUGUCA